rnacentral:misc_RNA from 1 species
GUGAAUCAUCAAAUUUUUGAACGCAUAUUGCACUCUCUGGUAUUCCGGAGAGUAUGCCUAUUUGAGGGUCAUUUGAAAUAAUAUAAAUUUUUCGAGAUUUUCUUGGGUUGCGUGAUACUUUCAGUUACCUCGUGACUUAACCAGGAAUCAUCGGGCGUGUUAUGAAUUUUGCAAGAGAUAAAAAAUUCCAUAGAUUUAUCUCAUGCGAAAUAGAAAUCGAAUCAUGACCUCAAAUUAGGUAGGAGUACCCGCUGAACUUAAGCAUAUCAAUAAGCGGAGGA